CGGCAAUGGAGGAAACUCUGACCGAGCAACGCCGCGUGAACGAUGAAGUAUUUCGGUACGUAAAGUUCUUUUAUUAGGGAAGAAUAAAUGAUGGAAAAAUCAUUCUGACGGUACCUAAUGAAUAAGCCCCGGCUAACUAUGUGCCAGCAGCCGCGGUAAUACAUAGGGGGCAAGCGUUAUCCGGAAUUAUUGGGCGUAAAGGGUGCGUAGGCGGUUAAAUAAGUUUAUGGUCUAAGUGCAAUGCUCAACAUUGUGAUGCUAUAAAAACUGUUUAGCUAGAGUAAGAUAGAGGCAAGUGGAAUUCCAUGUGUAGUGGUAAAAUGCGUAAAUAUAUGGAGGAACACCAGUAGCGAAGGCGGCUUGCUGGGUCUUUACUGACGCUGAGGCACGAAAGCGUGGGGAGCAAACUGGAUUAGAUACCCUGGUAGUCCACGCCGUAAACGAUGAGUACUAAACGUUGGGUAAAACCAGUGUUGAAGUUAACACAUUAAGUACUCCGCCUGAGUAGUACGUACGCAAGUAUGAAACUUAAAGGAAUUGACGGGACUCCGCACAAGCGGUGGAUCAUGUUGUUUAAUUCGAAGGUACCCGAAAAACCUCACCAGGUCUUGACAUGCUUCUGCAAAGCUGUAGAAACACAGUGGAGGUUAUCAGUUGCACAGGUGGUGCAUGGUUGUCGUCAGCUCGUGUCGUGAGAUGUUGGGUUAAGUCCCGCAACGAGCGCAACCCUUAUUGUUAGUUACCAGCACGUAAUGGUGUGGACUUUAGCAAGACUGCCAGUGAUAAAUUGGAGGAAGGUGGGGACGACGUCAAAUCAUCAUGCCCCUUAUGACCUGUGCUACAAACGUGAUACAAUGGCUGUUACAAAGAGUAGCUGAA
rnacentral:rRNA from 1 species